UGCCUAACACAUGCAAGUCGAACGGAGUAUCAGGGCUUGCUCUGAUACUUAGUGGCGCACGGGUGAGUAACACGUGGGAAUCUGCCCCAGAGUACGGGAUAACUAUUGGAAACGAUAGCUAAUACCGUAUAUUGCCGAGAGGUGAAAGAUUCAUCGCUCUGGGAUGAGCCCGCGUCUGAUUAGGUAGUUGGUGGGGUAAUGGCCCACCAAGCCGACGAUCAGUAGCUGGUCUGAGAGGACGACCAGCCACACUGGAACUGAGACACGGUCCAGACUCCUACGGGAGGCAGCAGUGGGGAAUAUUGGACAAUGGGCGAAAGCCUGAUCCAGCGACGCCGCGUGAAUGAUGAAGGCCUUAGGGUUGUAAAGUUCUUUUGGCAGGGACGAUAAUGACGGUACCUGCAGAAUAAGCCCCGGCAAACUCUGUGCCAGCAGCCGCGGUAAGACAGAGGGGGCUAGCGUUGUUCGGAAUUACUGGGCGUAAAGGGCGCGUAGGCGGUCUUGUAAGUUAGAAGUGGAAUCCUGAGGCUCAACCUCAGAACUGCUUUUAAUACUGCUUGACUAGAGUCCGGUAGAGGAUAGUGGAAUACCCAGUGUAGCGGUGAAAUGCGUAGAUAUUGGGUGGAACACCGAUGGCGAAGGCAGCUAUCUGGUCCGGAACUGACGCUGAGGCGCGAAAGCGUGGGGAGCAAACAGGAUUAGAUACCCUGGUAGUCCACGCCCUAAACGAUGAGUGCUAGAUGUUGGAAGCUUAGUCUUUCAGUGUCGCAGCUAACGCGUUAAGCACUCCGCCAGGGGAGUACGGCCGCAAGGUUAAAACUCAAAGGAAUUGACGGGGACCCGCACAAGCGGUGGAGCAUGUGGUUUAAUUCGAGGCAACGCGAAGAACCUUACCACCCCUUGACAUGCUAGGGGAGUCUUUCAGAGAUGAUUGACGCCACUUCGGUGGCCCUAGCACAGGUGCUGCAUGGCUGUCGUCAGCUCGUGUCGUGAGAUGUUGGGUUAAGUCCCGCAACGAGCGCAACCCUCAUCCUCUGUUGCUAACAGGUUAUGCUGAGAACUCUGAGGAAACUGCCGGUGAUAAGCCGGAGGAAGGUGGGGACGACGUCAAGUCAUCAUGGCCCUUACGGGGUGGGCUACACACGUGCUACAAUGGCGGCUACAACGGGCUGCGAAGUCGCGAGACGGAGCAAAUCCUUCAAAAGCCGCCUCAGUUCGGAUUGCACUCUGCAACUCGAGUGCAUGAAGUCGGAAUCGCUAGUAAUCGCGCAUCAGCAUGGCGCGGUGAAUACGUUCCCGGGUCUUGUACACACCGCCCGUCACACCAUGGGAGUUGACUUUACCUUAAGCCGGUGAGCUAACCGCAAGGAGGCAGCCGACCACGGUAGGGUCAGUGACUGGGGUGAAGUCGUAACAAGGUAAC
rnacentral:rRNA from 2 species